rnacentral:rRNA from 1 species
AACGAACGCUGGCGGCAUGCCUAACACAUGCAAGUCGAACGAGACCUUCGGGUCUAGUGGCGCACGGGUGCGUAACGCGUGGGAACCUGCCCUUAGGUUCGGAAUAACUCCCCGAAAGGGGUGCUAAUACCGGAUAAUGUCUUCGGACCAAAGAUUUAUCGCCUUUGGAUGGGCCCGCGUUGGAUUAGCUAGUUGAUAGGGUAAAAGCCUACCAAGGCGACGAUCCAUAGCUGGUCUGAGAGGAUGAUCAGCCACACUGGGACUGAGACACGGCCCAGACUCCUACGGGAGGCAGCAGUGGGGAAUAUUGGACAAUGGGCGAAAGCCUGAUCCAGCAAUGCCGCGUGAGUGAUGAAGGCCUUAGGGUUGUAAAGCUCUUUUACCCGGGAUGAUAAUGACAGUACCGGGAGAAUAAGCUCCGGCUAACUCCGU